AUUAUUAAUAAGUGAGAAACUGGGCAACUGUUUUGGUACUUCAUAUAAUUGCUGCAUUUUUCUGUCGUAUCUAUGGGAUCCAACUCAGACUGUAGCUGGUGGCCGCCUUUGGUCUUUUUGUCCUGAGUGAGAUCAGUACUUAGUGAGCAGAGGGAAGUUGCUGGCUGAAGAACUGAUUGCACUUAAAAUCCUUUUGGUUUUAUUUUCAGAGAUAUGAGUGACUGCUGGAAGACAAAGCUGGUUUCACAACAUCCAGCUUCUGUUUCUCAUUUCACCAAAGGCCUUUAACGUGAUCUUGGAUGGAAUACGACAUUUCAGAUGUCCAAAGAGUUAGCUCUGACAGUCUCUGGAGGAAUUUGAGAAGUGUGAAGGUUGGAAAUGAAUCAGUUAUGCAUCAGCUACAUUUCAUACUCUUGUCCUGAGAGUAAAGCAGUUAUGGGCUGGGCUCCUUGUUCCAGAAUGACAGAUAUGGGCAUCUGCUGCUAAUCUAUACUUUAUUAAGCUGAAAGAUUCAUUAACUGCCUCUGUUUUUGGAGCAGUUCCUGAAACAUUACACUUGAACAGUUCAACAUGUUUUCAAAUUUG
rnacentral:lncRNA from 1 species